rnacentral:tRNA from 1 species
AGAAAAGGUCAGGAUAGCUCAGUUGGUAGAGCAGAGGACUGAAAUUC